CAAGUUAUUCCACACCUGUAGAGCCGAUAUAAAGCUAAAAUAUGAAGGUUGCGUGCGUAUUGCUCUUAGUAUGCCUUGUUGGAUAUGUCUGUGCCCAAGAACCAAGUCAAGCUCCUCGGCUGGACGAAUACGAAAUUACUUUCAACGUGAAUUUGAAUUAUGACAAACAUAAAGCAGGAAGUAUUUUCAGAGCGCUGAUAGGUAACUCUUAUGAUGAGUUGAAGUGUAAUAGCUACCUGGUCUGUGAAGAUUCCAACAACGAUUGCGAUGCAUGUUCUAUACCUUAGGAAGGCAUAUAAUGUUGGACCAACAUGACCACUUUGACCACGGACACGACUACUGACUCUGAUUAGAUCGAUUAUGCCGAGUGACGCCAUUUACCCUUUUGAUACAUUUUCUACUAAGUCUUUGCCGUUCUUUGCGAUAUUUACUGUAGUUUAACUAAUAAAUGAAGCUGAUUAUCAAGCAAAACUAUUGUUACUAC